GCAUGAAGUCGGAAUUGCAGUAAUCGCAGAUCAGCAUGCUGCGGUGAAUACGUUCCCGGGCCUUGUGCACACCGCCCGUCACACCAUGGGAGUCGGUAACACCCGAAGUCGGUAGUCUAACCGAAAGGAGGACGCCGCCGAAGGUGGGAUUGAUGACUGGGGUGAAGUCGUAACAAGGUAGC
rnacentral:rRNA from 1 species